rnacentral:misc_RNA from 1 species
GAUGAAGAACGUAGCGAAAUGCGAUACGUAAUGUGAAUUGCAAAUUCAGUGAAUCAUCGAGUCUUUGAACGCACAUUGCGCCCCCUGGUAUUCCGGGGGGCAUGCCUGUCCGAGCGUCAUUGCUGCCCUCAAGCACGGCUUGUGUGUUGGGCCCCGUCCUCCGAUCCCGGGGGACGGGCCCGAAAGGCAGCGGCGGCACCGCGUCCGGUCCUCGAGCGUAUGGGGCUUUGUCACCCGCUCUGUAGGCCCGGCCGGCGCUUGCCGAUCAACCCAAAUUUUUUAUCCAGGUUGACCUCGGAUCACGUAGGGAUACCCGCUGAACUUAAGCAUAUCAAUAAGCGGAGGA